GGGCUCAUAGCGCAGCCUGGUAGCGCGAAAGACUCUUAAUCUUUAGGUCGGGGGUUCGAAUCCCCCUGAGCCCA
rnacentral:tRNA from 2 species